rnacentral:rRNA from 1 species
UACGUAGGGUGCGAGCGUUGUCCGGAAUUAUUGGGCGUAAAGGGCGCGUAGGCGGCCUGGCAAGUGGAAGGUGAAAUCCCUCGGCUUAACCGAGGAACUGCCCUCCAAACUGCUUGGCUUGAGACCGGGAGAGGUGAGUGGAAUUCCCAGUGUAGCGGUGAAAUGCGUAGAUAUUGGGAGGAACACCAGUGGCGAAGGCGGCUCACUGGACCGGUACUGACGCUGAUGCGCGAAAGCGUGGGGAGCAAACGGGG